CCUGUAGCUCAACUGGAUAGAGCGUCUGACUACGGAUCAGAAGGUUAUGGGUUCGACUCCUGUUAGGUG
rnacentral:tRNA from 1 species